AGCGAACGCUGGCGGCAGGCCUAACACAUGCAAGUCGAACGAACCCUUCGGGGUUAGUGGCGGACGGGUGAGUAACACGUGGGAACGUGCCUUUAGGUUCGGAAUAACUCAGGGAAACUUGUGCUAAUACCGAAUGUGCCCUUCGGGGAAAGAUUUAUCGCCUUUAGAGCGGCCCGCGUCUGAUUAGCUAGUUGGUGAGGUAAUGGCUCACCAAGGCUACGAUCAGUAGCUGGUCUGAGAGGAUGACCAGCCACAUUGGGACUGAGACACGGCCCAAACGCCUACGGGAGGCAGCAGUGGGGAAUCUUGCGCAAUGGGCGAAAGCCUGACGCAGCCAUGCCGCGUGGAUGAUGAAGGUCUUAGGAUUGUAAAAUCCUUUCACCGGUGAAGAUAAUGACUGUAGCCGGAGAAGAAGCCCCGGCUAACUUCGUGCCAGCAGCCGCAGUAACAC
rnacentral:rRNA from 1 species